UACGAAGGGGGCUAGCGUUGUCCGGAAUUAUUGGGCGUAAAGAGCUCGUAGGCGGUUUGUUGCGUCGGCUGUGAAAUCCCGAGGCUCAACCUCGGGUCUGCAGUCGAUACGAGCAAACUAGAGUGUUGCAGGGGAGACUGGAAUUCCUGGUGUAGCGGUGAAAUGCGCAGAUAUCAGGAGGAACACCAGCGGCGAAGGCGAGUCCCCUGGACAACACCUGACACUGAGG
rnacentral:rRNA from 1 species